AAGAGUAUAAUUUAAUUGGCAAAAUGUGAAACUUCAAAUUUCUUGUUCUCAGUUCAAGUCUGAGUGCUCUUG
rnacentral:tRNA from 1 species